rnacentral:piRNA from 1 species
UGUUUCCGGCUAAUUAGAAAGGUUG